GGUUAAGCGACUAAGCGUACACGGUGGAUGCCCUGGCAGUCAGAGGCGAUGAAGGGCGUGCUAAUCUGCGAUAAGCGCCGGUAAGGUGAUAUGAACCGUUAUAACCGGCGAUACCCGAAUGGGGAAACCCAGUGUGACUCGUCACACUAUCAUUAACUGAAUCCAUAGGUUAAUGAGGCGAACCGGGGAACUGAAACAUCUAAGUACCCCGAGGAAAAGAAAUCAACCGAGAUUCCCCAGUAGCGGCGAGCGAACGGGGAGGAGCCCAGAGCCUGAAUCAGCAUGUGUGUUAGUGGAAGCGUCUGGAAAGGCGCGCGAUACAGGGUGACAGCCCCGUACACAAAAGCGCAUGUGCUGUGAGCUCGAUGAGUAGGGCGGGACACGUGGUAUCCUGUCUGAAUAUGGGGGGACCAUCCUCCAAGGCUAAAUACUCCUGACUGACCGAUAGUGAACCAGUACCGUGAGGGAAAGGCGAAAAGAACCCCGGCGAGGGGAGUGAAAAAGAACCUGAAACCGUGUACGUACAAGCAGUGGGAGCACCCUUUGGGUGUGACUGCGUACCUUUUGUAUAAUGGGUCAGCGACUUAUAUUCUGUAGCAAGGUUAACCGAAUAGGGGAGCCGGAGGGAAACCGAGUCUUAAUUGGGCGUUAAGUUGCAGGGUAUAGACCCGAAACCCGGUGAUCUAGCCAUGGGCAGGUUGAAGGUUGGGUAACACUAACUGGAGGACCGAACCGACUAAUGUUGAAAAAUUAGCGGAUGACCUGUGGCUGGGGGUGAAAGGCCAAUCAAACCGGGAGAUAGCUGGUUCUCCCCGAAAGCUAUUUAGGUAGCGCCUCGUGAAUUCAUCUCCGGGGGUAGAGCACUGUUUCGGCUAGGGGGCCAUCCCGGCUUACCAACCCGAUGCAAACUGCGAAUACCGGAGAAUGUUAUCACGGGAGACACACGGCGGGUGCUAACGUCCGUCGUGAAGAGGGAAACAACCCAGACCGCCAGCUAAGGUCCCAAAGUCAUGGUUAAGUGGGAAACGAUGUGGGAAGGCCCAGACAGCCAGGAUGUUGGCUUAGAAGCAGCCAUCAUUUAAAGAAAGCGUAAUAGCUCACUGGUCGAGUCGGCCUGCGCGGAAGAUGUAACGGGGCUAAACCAUGCACCGAAGCUGCGGCAGCGACACUGUGUGUUGUUGGGUAGGGGAGCGUUCUGUAAGCCUGUGAAGGUGUGUCGUGAGGCAUGCUGGAGGUAUCAGAAGUGCGAAUGCUGACAUAAGUAACGAUAAAGCGGGUGAAAAGCCCGCUCGCCGGAAGACCAAGGGUUCCUGUCCAACGUUAAUCGGGGCAGGGUGAGUCGACCCCUAAGGCGAGGCCGAAAGGCGUAGUCGAUGGGAAACGGGUUAAUAUUCCCGUACUUGGUGUUACUGCGAAGGGGGGACGGAGAAGGCUAUGUUGGCCGGGCGACGGUUGUCCCGGUUUAAGUGUGUAGGUGUGUGUUCCAGGUAAAUCCGGUUCACUUUAACACUGAGGCGUGACGACGAGGCACUACGGUGCUGAAGCAACAAAUGCCCUGCUUCCAGGAAAAGCCUCUAAGCAUCAGGUAACAUCAAAUCGUACCCCAAACCGACACAGGUGGUCAGGUAGAGAAUACCAAGGCGCUUGAGAGAACUCGGGUGAAGGAACUAGGCAAAAUGGUGCCGUAACUUCGGGAGAAGGCACGCUGACACGUAGGUGAAGUGAUUUACUCAUGGAGCUGAAGUCAGUCGAAGAUACCAGCUGGCUGCAACUGUUUAUUAAAAACACAGCACUGUGCAAACACGAAAGUGGACGUAUACGGUGUGACGCCUGCCCGGUGCCGGAAGGUUAAUUGAUGGGGUCAGCGCAAGCGAAGCUCCUGAUCGAAGCCCCGGUAAACGGCGGCCGUAACUAUAACGGUCCUAAGGUAGCGAAAUUCCUUGUCGGGUAAGUUCCGACCUGCACGAAUGGCGUAAUGAUGGCCAGGCUGUCUCCACCCGAGACUCAGUGAAAUUGAACUCGCUGUGAAGAUGCAGUGUACCCGCGGCAAGACGGAAAGACCCCGUGAACCUUUACUAUAGCUUGACACUGAACAUUGAGCCUUGAUGUGUAGGAUAGGUGGGAGGCUUUGAAGUGUGGACGCCAGUCUGCAUGGAGCCGACCUUGAAAUACCACCCUUUAAUGUUUGAUGUUCUAACGUGGACCCGUUACCCGGGUUGCGGACAGUGUCUGGUGGGUAGUUUGACUGGGGCGGUCUCCUCCUAAAGAGUAACGGAGGAGCACGAAGGUUGGCUAAUCUCGGUCGGACAUCAGGAGGUUAGUGCAAUGGCAUAAGCCAGCUUGACUGCGAGCGUGACGGCGCGAGCAGGUGCGAAAGCAGGUCAUAGUGAUCCGGUGGUUCUGAAUGGAAGGGCCAUCGCUCAACGGAUAAAAGGUACUCCGGGGAUAACAGGCUGAUACCGCCCAAGAGUUCAUAUCGACGGCGGUGUUUGGCACCUCGAUGUCGGCUCAUCACAUCCUGGGGCUGAAGUAGGUCCCAAGGGUAUGGCUGUUCGCCAUUUAAAGUGGUACGCGAGCUGGGUUUAGAACGUCGUGAGACAGUUCGGUCCCUAUCUGCCGUGGGCGCUGGAGAACUGAGGGGGGCUGCUCCUAGUACGAGAGGACCGGAGUGGACGCAUCACUGGUGUUCGGGUUGUCAUGCCAAUGGCACUGCCCGGUAGCUAAAUGCGGAAGAGAUAAGUGCUGAAAGCAUCUAAGCACGAAACUUGCCCCGAGAUGAGUUCUCCCUGAGACUUAAAGUCUCCUGAAGGAACGUUGAAGACGACGACGUUGAUAGGCCGGGUGUGUAAGCGCAGCGAUGCGUUGAGCUAACCGGUACUAAUGAACCGUGAGGCUUAACCUU
rnacentral:rRNA from 1 species